AGAUUCCCCACCCACCAAACAGAUCUUUAUUUAAUUUAAUUUUAUUUCAUGCUCUGUUGGUGCAAGGCAGUUUUUCCUCCUCUCUCCACCCUCCUUUCUUCCUCUAUUUAUUUUUUUGCUGCCCCCCUCCCCAAUCUCUAAUAUCAUUUUCACCCACCCACAGCGACGCUGGGUAUUUUCUUCUGACCUUAAUGGCCCCGGUUUCCCCUCAGUAUUUAAGCGGAACAACAUAGAGAUUCAUUAAAUUCAGCUGAGGGUGGAGCUAAUGACAAGAAGCAGGUACGGGAUUACAAGACGACAGGCUAGCAGCUGCCAAGGCCAUGAGCAGACAAGCCUAAAAUCCGAGUUUGGUCUAGAAGCUGUACGGGGUCUCCUGGGUACCCCCACUUCACUCCUGACCCUCCUCUAAGAAUCUCCAUGCAGUGGAAAGGUGAGAUAGCUCAACCCACCAACUUGGAGCAGAAUCAGCAAAAGUCCCAAGGUUGGCAGAGGACAGAAACAGGAAGGAGGAGUGAGGCUAUGCAGGAGGUAGGACCCACAGGAAUGUUGGGG
rnacentral:lncRNA from 1 species